GGUGAAGUUUCAUUUUUUUUGCUUGAUGGGUUGGUACGUUGGGUCCACAUUUAGCUAAUGCAUCAUGACUUCAGGUUUGAUUUCUGACAUGUCGAUAGGUGACCAAACAAAAAUAUUUACAUUUUUCUAUAAAAGGAAAAUGAAUUUCUAGUUACUUUGUUUAAAUUUGACCCGAUCCAAACCAUAUGCUCAUUACUUCCAUCCUCUAAGGG
rnacentral:lncRNA from 1 species